CAGGGAGAGAAUGUGAGUGCUGACAUGGUGCUUUACAAAACAUCCCAACUUAAACAUUUUAAUCCUGAUAGCGUGAGGAAAAAGCUAGAUUUGCUGAUUCAGAAGAAUCUCUUGACUAAGUAUUUCAGCUUUGCAUCUCUUGAAGCAAAGAGAAAAUUCAGGGCCCCACGAACAUCACCUAAUCAUCCAAUUCCAGAGGAUAAUUCUCCUCUUGUUUCCAAGGAACAUAUCACGCUGGAGGCUGCUGCAUGUAAAACGAACUGCUUGCCGACAUCCCUGCUUGACUCUGAAAACAUUGGCACUGUUUCUCCUGUUGACAACCCUGUGAGUGAUAUGAAUGGGAGUGGUGACAAAUUUCAGUUGAAUAUCACUUGAUAGUUGAUAUCAUCAUUUAGAUGCUCGUCAUCUGGUUCUCAUGCCAGCGGUCUCCGUGCUCCUCUGAAAGAUGUUCGAAAUACUUGUACCAAUAGGCCAACCGUUGGCAUGGACUUAGCGAAUUUGCUUAUGUUCCAAAGACCCAGAAAACUGAAUUAGCGUCUCCCAGAGAUUGAAUUUGGAUUGUAUUUUGCAUAAUGUUUUUCGGGCAGGAUCCAUCUCAGUUGCAACAGGGCUCACUUGCCACAGGGACUUGUUUUAGAUUACUGGAGGCCGUUGCUUACACUGCCACCUGCCUGAUCAUCGAUGUGUUUGUGUUUUUAAAUCAUAUUUCUGUAAUUUUAGAAGUUUCUCUUGUUCUUGUGCAUUAAUUUGUGCAAAAUUCUUUCUGGUUGAAGCAAAUACAAAAUGAAGUUGAUUUCUCUACA